GGGGGAUAAGCUUCAUUGUCGAGAGGGGAACAGCCCAGAUCACCAUUUAAGGCCCCUAAAUAUUUACUAAGUGAUAAAGGAUGUAAUAUUACAUAGACAACCAGGAGGUUUGCUUAGAAGCAGCAAUUCCUUUAAAAAGUGCGUAAUAGCUUACUGGUCAAGUGAUUUUGCGCCGAAAAUGAAUGGGACUAAGUAAUUUGCCGAAGAUGUGAGUAUUAUUCAGUAGAAGAGCGUUCUGUUCAGUUUGAAGCAAUAGCGAAAGCAGUUGUGGACUAAACAGAAGUGAGAAUGUCGGCUUAAGUAACGAAAACAUUGGUGGAAAUCCAAUGCCCCGUAAAUCUAAGGUUUCCUUCGCCAGGUUCGUCCACGAAGGGUUAGUCAGGUCCUAAAAUGAGGUUUAACAACGUAAUUGAUGGUUAACAGGUUAAUAUUCCUGUACCUUUUUUCAUUUUACUAAGAGUGACGAAAAAGGCUAAGUUAUCCAAACAUUGGUUGUUUUGGUUUAAUAUUUCGAUGUGUUGAUAGAUAUAAUCAAAAAAUAUUUUGAGCAGAGGAUAGAAUACGAGAGAUACUACGGUAUUGCAAGUAACUUAUGUCAUAUUUCCUAGAAAAACUUUUGUAGUGUUAAAUGAAUUAUGCCUGUACCGUAAACUGACACAGGUAGAUUAGUAGAGAAUACUAAGGGGCGCGAGAUAACUGUCUCUAAGGAACUCGGCAAAAUGACUCCGUAACUUAGGAAGAAGGAGUGCCUCAUUUAUUUAUGAGGUCGCAGUGAGCAGGCCCAAGCGACUGUUUACCAAAAACACAGGUCUCCGCUAAGUUGAAAAACGAUGUAUGGGGGCUGACGCCUGCCCAGUGCCGGAAGGUUAAAGAAGUUGGUUAGCGUAAGCGAAGCUAGUGACUGAAGCCCUGGUGAACGGCGGCCGUAACUAUAACGGUCCUAAGGUAGCGAAAUUCCUUGUCGGGUAAGUUCCGACCCGCACGAAAGGCGUAACGAUUUGGGCGCUGUCUCGGAGACAGACUCGGUGAAAUAGAAUUGACUGUGAAGAUGCGGUCUACUUGCACUUGGACAGAAAGACCCUAUGAAGCUUUACUGUAACUUGAAAUUGACUUUGGGCUUUUUUUGCGCAGUAUAGGUGGGAGGCUUUGAAUCUCUUUUUCGGAAGUAGAGGAGCCAUAAUAUGAGAUACCACUCUGAAAAAGUUAGAAAUCUAAUGACAUUUUGUAAUGUUUGACAUUUUCAAGCGGGCAGUUUUACUGGGGCGGUAGCCUCCUAAAAAGUAACGGAGGCGUACAAAGGUUUUCUCAGUCUGGACGGAAAUUAGUUGUAGAGUGUAAAGAUAUAAGAAAGCUUGACUGUGAGACCUAUAAGUCGAGCAGAGACUAAAGUCGGUCUUAGUGACCCGACGGUUCUGAAUGGAAAGGCCGUCGUUCAACAGAUAAAAGUUACUCUAGGGAUAACAGGCUGAUCUCCCCCAAGAGUUCACAUCGACGGGGAGGUUUGGCACCUCGAUGUCGGCUCAUCGCAACCUGGGGCGGUAGUACGUCCCAAGGGUUGGGCUGUUCGCCCAUUAAAGCGGUACGUGAGCUGGGUUCAGAACGUCGAGAGACAGUUCGGUCCAUAUCCGGUGUGAGCGUUAGAGUAUUGAAAGGAUCUUUCCUUAGUACGAGAGGACCGGGAAGGACACACCACUGAUGUUCCAGUUUUUGUGCCAACAGAAAACGCUGGGUAGUCAAGUGUGGAGUGGAUAACUGCUGAAAGCAUA
rnacentral:rRNA from 1 species